rnacentral:rRNA from 1 species
AUUCAUUUUCUCUCAUGAGAAGAGGAUGAUCGGCGGAGCAAUCUGCUACUAGAGGGAUGGGCCUGCGGCGCAUUAGCUAGUUGGUGAGGUAACGGCUCACCAAGGCGACGAUGCGUAGCCGACCUGAGAGGGUGAACGGCCACACUGGGACUGAGACACGGCCCAGACUCCUACGGGAGGCAGCAGUAGGGAAUCUUCCGCAAUGGGCGAAAGCCUGACGGAGCAACGCCGCGUGAGUGAUGAAGGUUUUCGGAUCGUAAAGCUCUGUUGCCAGGGAAGAACGUCCGGUAGAGUAACUGCUACCGGAGUGACGGUACCUGAGAAGAAAGCCCCGGCUAACUACGUGCCAGCAGCCGCGGUAAUACGUAGGGGGCAAGCGUUGUCCGGAAUUAUUGGGCGUAAAGCGCGCGCAGGCGGCUAUUAAGUCUGGUGUUUAAACCUUGGGCUCACCUGGGGUCGCACUGGAACUGGAUGGCUUGAGUAAAAAGAGGAAAGUGGGAUUCCCCGUGUAGCGGUGAAAUGCGUUGAUAUGUGGAAGAACACCAGUGGCGAAGGCGACUUUUGGGCGGUACUUGACCCGGGAGCCGAGCGUGGGGGCCAACAGAUAAAUACCUGGUA